CCUACGGGGGACAGCAGUGAGGAAUAUUGCACAAUGGGCGCAAGCCUGAACCAGCCAAGUCGCGUGAGGGAAGAAUGCCCUCCGGGUUGUAAGCUUCUUUUGCAAGGGAAUAAAGUGAGGUACGUGUGCCCUUAUGUAUGUACUUUAUGAAUAAGGAUCGGCUAACUCCGUGCCAGCAGCCGCGGUAAUACGGAGGGUCCGAGCGUUAUCCGGAAUUAUUGGGGUUAAAGGGUACGUAGAUGGGUAGUUAAGUCAGUUGUGAAAGUUUAGUGCUCAACCGUAAAAUUGCAAUUGAUACUGGCAGGCUAGAGUACAGUAGAGGUAAGCGGAAGUCGUGGUGUAGCGGUGAAAUGCGUAGAUAUCAGGAAGAACACCGAUGGCGAAGGCAGCUUACUAGACUGUAACUGACGUUGAUGCUCGAAAGUGUGGGUAGCAAACAGGAUUAGAUACCCGUGUAGUC
rnacentral:rRNA from 1 species